rnacentral:rRNA from 1 species
ACCCGCUGAACUUAAGCAUAUCACUAAGCGGAGGAAAAGAAAUUAACUAAGAUUGCCUCAGUAACGGCGAGUGAAGCGGCAAGAGCCCAAACUGCUAAUCUUCACACUGCGUGUGACGAAUUGUAAUCUAGAGGAUGUUCGCUCAAUGGGUCGUGGCGCAGAAGUGCCCUGGAACGGGCCGCCAGAGAGGGUGACAGUCCCGUAUGUGGUGCCAUAACCUAACGAGCGGGUGUUCGACGAGUCGGGUUGUUUUGUAUUGCAGCCCUAAGUGGGAGAUAAACUUCUUCUAAGGCUAAAUAUCUAUGGGAAACCGAUAGCGAACAAGUACUGUGAAGGAAAGAUGAAAAGAACUUUGGAAAGAGAGUCAAAAGACUUGAAAUCGUUGAGAAGGAAGCGGUAGAAAUUUAUUCUUCGGCUGGGGACGGUGGCGGUUGCUUGGUCUAUUGCCGGUCUGCAGUACCUUCAUCGGGCUGCUCUCUGGUACCUGGAUCGGCGGCCGUUUUGCCCCUAGUCGUGAGGCAAAAUGGGGUCGUGCAUCCGCAGAUGCCCUUCGAGCCUGGUGUCUUUUAUAGGCGCAGUUCGGGGGUUGUUGGUGGAAGUGCGGCCUGAGGGUGCUUUGUGCGAUUUUGCCAAAAUGGUUUUUACCGACCCGUCUUGAAACACGGACCAAGGAGUCUAACAUAUAUGCGAGUGUGCUGGUGGAGAAACCAACACGCAUAAUGAAAGUGAGCGAUGCCAAGCGCAAGCAGCAGCAUCGACCGACCAUGAUCCUCCGGUGAAAGGUUUGAGUACGAGCAUAUCUGUUAGGACCCGAAAGAUGGUGAACUAUGCCUGAGUAGGGUGAAGCCAGGGGAAACUCUGGUGGAAGCUCGUAGCGAUACUGACGUGCAAAUCGUUCGUCGAACUUGGGUAUAGGGGCGAAAGACUAAUCGAACCAUCUAGUAGCUGGUUCCCUCCGAAGUUUCCCUCAGGAUAGCUGGGACAAUAUCGCAGUUUUAUUAGGUAAAGCGAAUGAUUAGAGGCAUCGGGGGUAAACUAUCCUCGACCUAUUCUCAAACUUUAAAUUGGUAAGAACCCUGGCCUUUCUUAAUUGAGGCAUGGGGACUGAAUGCGUGUCCUUAGUGGGCCAUUUUUGGUAAGCAGAACUGGCGAUGAGGGAUGCUCCUAACGUUGAGUUAAGGUGCCCAACUGCACGCUCAUCAGAUACCACAAAGGGUGUUGGUUCAUGAAGACAGCAGGCCGGUGGCCAUGGAAGUCGGAACCCGCUAAGGAGUGUGUAACAACUCCCCUGCCGAAUGAACUAGCCCCGAAAAUGGAUGGCGCUUAAGCGUGCGACCGAUACUCGACCAUUGUAGCGAGAGUGAGGCUGCAAUGAGUAGGAGGGCGUGAGCGUUGUUGCGAAGCCUCUGACGUGAGUCUGGGUUGAACAGCGUUUAGUGCAGAUCUUGGUGGUAGUAGCAAUUAUUCAAAUGAGAACUUUGAAGGCCGAAGUGGAGAAGGUUUCCGUGAGAACAGCAAUUGGUCACGGGUGACUCGAUCCUAAGACAUGGGGGAAUUCCUUGUUAAGUGUGCCAUCUCUGGCGCGUAGUCGAAAGGGAAUGAGGUUAAUAUUCCUCAAGCUGGAUGUGGAUAUUGUAUGGUAACAUAAGUGAGCUCAGAGACGCCAGCGUGAGCCUCUGGAAGAGUUCUCUUUUCUUUUUAACAGGCUAGCGACCUUGAAAUUGGAUUAUCCAGAGCUAAGGUCGUAUGCCUGGAAGAGCACCUUGCUUUUCGAGGGUGUCAGGUGCGCUCACGAUGGUCCUUGAAAAUCUGAGUGAGAGUCUUAUUUCACACCAGGUCGUACCCAUAACCGCAUCAGGCUUU